rnacentral:rRNA from 1 species
GCAGUCGAACGAUGAAGCCUUUCGGGGUGGAUUAGUGGCGAACGGGUGAGUAACACGUGGGCAAUCUGCCCUUCACUCUGGGACAAGCCCUGGAAACGGGGUCUAAUACCGGAUAGCACUGCGGAUCGCAUGGUCUGUGGUUGAAAGCUCCGGCGGUGAAGGAUGAGCCCGCGGCCUAUCAGCUUGUUGGUGAGGUAGUGGCUCACCAAGGCGACGACGGGUAGCCGGCCUGAGAGGGCGACCGGCCACACUGGGACUGAGACACGGCCCAGACUCCUACGGGAGGCAGCAGUGGGGAAUAUUGCACAAUGGGCGGAAGCCUGAUGCAGCGACGCCGCGUGAGGGAUGACGGCCUUCGGGUUGUAAACCUCUUUCAGCAGGGAAGAAGCGAGAGUGACGGUACCUGCAGAAGAAGCGCCGGCUAACUACGUGCCAGCAGCCGCGGUAAUACGUAGGGCGCAAGCGUUGUCCGGAAUUAUUGGGCGUAAAGAGCUCGUAGGCGGCUUGUCACGUCGGUUGUGAAAGCCCGGGGCUUAACCCCGGGUCUGCAGUCGAUACGGGCAGGCUAGAGUGUGGUAGGGGAGAUCGGAAUUCCUGGUGUAGCGGUGAAAUGCGCAGAUAUCAGGAGGAACACCGGUGGCGAAGGCGGAU